AAAAUUCCAGAAGACUCACACAUCUAGAAAAAACAAAGAGUCAGAUCAGCAGAACUCGAGAACACAGACAUGUCUCCUGUAACUGCGACACUCUGCGACACUCUGCGGGACUCUGCUGUGUUUCAGCGUCUUUGUGUUUGUAUCUGCAGACCUGAAAUUGAUCACAGCUGAAUCUGGACAGGACGUCACUCUGACAUGUCGAGCUCCAGACAACAACAUCAAUACUUUAGAAUGGAGCAAACCUGACCUGGGAGAUAAGAAUGUCUAUUUGUACCAGAAUGGCCAAUUCAAACCAGAUCACCAGCAUCCAUCUGUUAGGAACCGGGCGGAUCUGCAGAACAGACAGAUGAUGGAUGGAGACGCGUCUUUGAUUCUGAAGGAUGUGACAAUUGGUGACACUGGAACAUACGAGUGUCGUGUCAACAUGGAAGGAAAAAACCGCAAGGACGCUAAACCCGUCAGUGUCUUCUACCUCCAUGUUGUUCCUCCAGGAGCACACAAAGACAAUAAACCUGUUAAAAUUGACCCUCCACGUGUUGUUCCUCCAGGUGAGUGAGUAGAGUUGAGUGUGUGAUCAGAGGUGAAGCUGCUUCCUGGUUGUUGAUGUUUGUUUCUAAAGAUGUUGUUGAUGAGACUUUGUAGAAAGCAGCUGGUCUGAGUGAUGUGAUCAGAGUGCAGUAGAUAAUGUCUGACAGCAGUUUGAAGAGGAAAUGGAUUCUGUUCUGUUCUUCACUCAUCACCUACCUGACACCUCACACCUGUUUCUCACCUGCAGCUCAGAAAGGAGGAUCUGGUGGACUGAAAGCUGGUCUGGUAGUUCCUGCUGUGCUUCUUGUUGCUGCUACUGUUGUUGGUUUUUGAAAAGAAACACCAACAACAGCAGCAACAAGAAGAAAACAGUCUCAAGGUUCAAAUGAGCGUUCUGCUGAACAACAGAGCGGACAACCUCUUCAGACUUAAGAUCAUCAACCAAUAAACAUCAUAGACGUCAAACACUCAGAGUUUGGAUUUCUUUCUCAUUUCUCUGAUGAUCAUCAUGUUCAGACUCAGACCAACAGUGUGUGUCUGUGCUGUCUGUCAGUGAACCUGAACUACAGUUUAUUCAUCUUCAUGUUGUUCAUGAGAUUUACUGACACAAAGUCAAACUGUGUUACAAACAUAAAUGAAUUUAUAUGAUAUUAUCUCAGAAUAUAUGCAUGUUUUGUUUUUUAGCUUCAUGUUCAGCGGCUGGUUGUAAGAAAAACUAAAGAUCAGCUGUUACAGUAUAAUUGUUGUUCUGUGAAUUAUAGACUAUUAAUAAUCUGGCUCAUUGUUCAGCUACAACCACUUUGGUUGACAUUACUUAUUAUUCUCUUUUUGUAUAAAAUGUUGAAUUUUACAGCUUACGGAGCAAAAUUGUGUAAAAGUAAAAAUUUGUGUAGUUACAGACUCAUAUUUCUUCUCUGAUCCUGAACCUUUCUAACCCCUUUCAUUUAACAUUUCCUCCAGUGAAUCUUUGUAAAUCCAAAUUUCUUCAUCUAUGUUAAUAAAGAUUUACAUUUAUACCUGCU
ensembl:lncRNA